AGGAGACGCCAUGUAGGGCCGUAAGAGGCCGCGUUGAUACUAUGCUGAUUGCUACUGCUGAUUUUAUCAAUAGCAAGAGCAGGGGGGCGGUCAGCAAAAACUGCGCCGUUUUCGAUCAAGGCAUGGUGGGCAAGGUAGCGAUCAGCAACGAAGAUGAAGGGCCGACGACCGAUGUGAAGGGUGAUAACAGGGCCGAACUUGGGGAGGAGGGAACGAAUGACGGGCUCGAGUUUGGUGUAGGUAUAGCGGAGCCAUAGAAUGUUGCCGAUGAUAGGAACCUUAAGGGGGCCUGGAGGGAGGUUGAGGUUGAGGUUGGGGUCCUUGGAAGGAAAGAAAAGAUUGAUGAGAGCUUUCGGAAAAGCAGUAAUGGUCAUGGAGAUGAGAAUGAGUAACCACGUUUCCAUGAGAUAGAAG
rnacentral:misc_RNA from 1 species